AUUCACGUUACCCUGCAAUCACUGAAUCGUGGAGCACGUUUUACGGUCAGACGGCCCCCGCCGGCGCCAGGCCGGCCGAGAGGCGGGGCAGGCACCUGUCUGCGGCACGGCGGGGAGGCGGGCCGAGGGAGGCAGCCGCUGCCGCGCGCCUCAACACAGCAAGUUUCACGCGGCUGCUCGCUCGCUGAAGUAGUUCAACUCGUGGACAGCUUUACCAGGCGGCAGAAGCAGAGCUGCGCUGACGGCCGGGCCCCGCACGCCGCCGGCUCCCACAGGGCUGGCCCCGCCCGGCCCCCGAGCCGCACCGCUGAGGUCAGGGCCUCCAAGCAAACGCGGACUGCCGUUUUUGUCAGCUGGUAGACGUCCUUGCUGAAGAGUAACAGCUUGUCGUGAACGCCGCAGACUACUUAAGCAGAGUCUAGCAAUAAUAAGGAAUAUAUACAGUGCGUGAGGAGCUAAUCUGAAGGCUACGUGGGAACAAAAGUGAAGCCCUGAAUUGGGAUAUCCGAUGCUGAAUCACCAUAAAGCUUAUGUCAUGGAUGAGAAGUUGAAGAACAAGAGUGCUUCAGUUCAGUCAACUAUCUGGGAGCCUACAUCAGAGAAAUUCCAGCCUCAACAAUUUUGCAGUUUAUACUGGUUUCAAUGAUGAAAAUAAAGCACAAGUUUUGAAAGAUUCUUAUAAAUCUGGCUUUACAGUUGGUCAUCUCCCAUAAAUGAAGGAGUUCCUUGCUGUCUUUAAUCUGAUUAAAUGCAUAUUAACACUCUUGCAAACUACUUGCACGGCACUUGCACCACUCAACUUGCCAUUUCCCAGCUUUUUCAAACACAAAGAAUUUCUUUUAUUUUUGCACUGCACAACACUGGUUAACUUCUGCAGCGUAUCAUUCACCAAGAGACACAGAAUCGGCCAUGCAACAAAAACAGUACUCAAUUUGGUCAUAUAAGACUAUCACAGUAAGCAAGCAUAUAGAGGUGUAGGUAUCCCAAAGGCUGGCAUUUCCUAACUUUUUAUCACACAUUGCUAGGCUUUUGUAUGUUUUAUGUGAUAGCUUCUUUUAAUUAUAGAAUUGUACACAUCACUGACUACACAAAGUAUACACUUUCUUGAAUUACUACCAUGAUAAAUUAGGCUUGAUACUUCAGCUUAUGAUCUACUUUGCAUUUGAACAGAAGGGGAUUUAAAAAAAAAAUCAAAAGGCAAAGAGAGUAUUACACAACUCAAAGAGAGUAUUACACAAGGGAAUCAUUACACAACUCUAAUUACUCCCCAGAAUACCUAGUAAAUUUCUUUGUAAUCAAUCACAUCCUCUCCAAGAACAGCAGAAAUUUUACUUCAUGUUUUGAAAGCAACAACAAAAAACAGACCAAACAAGGAAAACUUCUAAUUGUCUAAAAUAUCAGAAGUACAUAAAGACAAGAAGUAGUAACAGCAGAUCUCAGCUUUCUUUCUAAAAACAUCAAGAAACAUCUUGGAACAAAACAGUCUCUACAAUAUUUUUAAGUACAACAUUUUAAUAAUUAUUUUUACG